rnacentral:rRNA from 1 species
UACGUAGGGUCGAGCGUUGUCCGGAAUUAUUGGGCGUAAAGGGCUCGUAGGCGGUUCGUCGACGUCGGGAGUGAAAACUCGGGCUAAGGCCCUGAACCGUCGCUGCUUCCGAUACGGGCAGACUAGAGGUAGCAGGGGAGAGCGAAUCCUGGUGUAGCGGUGGAAUGCGCAGAUAUCAGGAGAACACCGGUGGCGAAGGCGGUCUCUCGUGGCUA